rnacentral:rRNA from 1 species
UACGUAGGGUGCGAGCGUUGUCCGGAAUUAUUGGGCGUAAAGAGCUUGUAGGUGGCCCGUUGCGUCGGGAGUGAAAACCCGUGGCUUAACCACGGGCCUGCUUCCGAUACGGGCGAGCUAGAGUUCGGCAGGGGAGACUGGAAUUCCUGGUGUAGCGGUGGAAUGCGCAGAUAUCAGGAGGAACACCGGUGGCGAAGGCGGGUCUCUGGGCCGAUACUGACACUGAGAAGCGAAAGCGUGGGGAGCGAACAGG